rnacentral:rRNA from 1 species
AGAGUUUGAUCCUGGCUCAGGACGAACGCUUGCGACGUGCCUAAGAAAUGCAAGUCGAACGGGGGAGCAAUCCCUAGUGGCGAACGGUCGCGUAACACGUGGGCAACCUGCCCCAGAGCGGGGGAUAACAAUCCGAAAGGGUUGCUAAUACCGCAUGUGGACGGAGCUGGCAUCAGCUCCUGUCUAAAGAUUUAUCACUCUGGGAUGGGCCCGCGGCCUAUCAGCUAGUUGGUGGGGUAACGGCCUACCAAGGCUUCGACGGGUAGCUGGUCUGAGAGGACGAUCAGCCGGAUUGGGACUGAGAUACGGCCCAGACUCCUACGGGGGGCAGCAAUUAGGAAUCUUGCACAAUGGGCGAAAGCCUGAUGCAGCGACGUCGCGUGGAGGAUGAAAUCUUUCGGGAUGUAAACUCCUUUUACCAGGGAAGAAAAAAAUGACGGUACCUGGUGAAUAAGCCCCGGCUAACUACGUGCCAGCAGCCGCGGUAAUA